AUGCAGCACGUAGGAUGCUGCCCCGCGGCCGUGCGAGCGUGUGCUUCUGCCCGGGCAACCCGGGAGGCUGCAGCUUCCCCGCGGCAUCAAGUUCACGGCAGGGUCGAGCCGUGGGUGUGCGGAUCCUGGCCACUGAGCUUUGCUGUCAGGUGGCCAAAACCGUGGAGCUGGUGGGUGAGAGGUUCUUGUGCCACUCAGGAAAUGUUUCUGGAGGAAAAAAGAGGGGAUGCUGAGGGAAGGGGGGCUGGGAGUGACCGGCUGCUGCCUGCCCGAGGCUGCCGGGGCUUCUCUUCCUGCUGUGGGGUUUGCUGUGGGAGCAAACGAGGCUGCUCUGGGGCAUCCCCCAGUCUGCUUUUCCCCAGCUCGGUGAUCCCCAGGCACUGGGCUGCUUGCAAAUACACCCCAUCCAAAGCCUGCCUUUGGGGCAGGAAUGUGGCACAAGGGGACCGGAAAAGUUUAGCGCUCAUUUUCACUCACCCUCAAACACCAUCUGAUCUAACCUCGCAGGAAAAUCCCCUUGCUGGGCAGGGAAACCCUCUGCGGAAGUGGAAACGGAGCAUUUGCGCUUGGAAAAUCACAAAGGAGCGAGGGAAGCUUGCACCGGCAAGACAUUUCCCAGAAGUGUGCUGCCGGCAGUGUUCUUUGCCCUGCGCAGCCUGACGAGCGUUCGGGUUGAUCCCGGCAUCUCCAGGAACGGCAGCGGGGCCAGGCUGGGGAUGCAGGAUCCGGCCCUGAGCCCCUGUGCGCACGUCGUGGCAGCAAGUCCUCGGUAACAAAGCCGCCGCACGGAAUAAAGGAACGAGGAUUCAGCUUUAAUUAUUAACGAUUAUUAAAGAUUUAUGCCUGAGAAGCAAAAGAGCUGCACGGGGAUGAUUUGGGGCUGCGUGAGCAUCGGUGUGUCGGCGGCUGGCUGCAUCCGUCGCGCUGGGACAGCGAGGAGGGGACACUGCAGCUUCCAAAACACAUCCGAGGCAGCGCUGCAGGGAUCGGUCCCGCUGCCACAGCACUGCCAGUGCUGGAGCCACGCAGGGGGAGCAGGGUCCUGUAAGGGGCAGGGGAGUCGGUGCCUGUGCU
rnacentral:lncRNA from 1 species